AGGGGAGUGAAAAAGAACCUGAAACCGUGUACGUACAAGCAGUGGGAGCAUGCUUAGGCGUGUGACUGCGUACCUUUUGUAUAAUGGGUCAGCGACUUAUAUUCUGUAGCAAGGUUAACCGAAUAGGGGAGCCGAAGGGAAACCGAGUCUUAACUGGGCGUUAAGUUGCAGGGUAUAGACCCGAAACCCGGUGAUCUAGCCAUGGGCAGGUUGAAGGUUGGGUAACACUAACUGGAGGACCGAACCGACUAAUGUUGAAAAAUUAGCGGAUGACUUGUGGCUGGGGGUGAAAGGCCAAUCAAACCGGGAGAUAGCUGGUUCUCCCCGAAAGCUAUUUAGGUAGCGCCUCGUGAAUUCAUCUCCGGGGGUAGAGCACUGUUUCGGCAAGGGGGUCAUCCCGACUUACCAACCCGAUGCAAACUGCGAAUACCGGAGAAUGUUAUCACGGGAGACACACGGCGGGUGCUAACGUCCGUCGUGAAGAGGGAAACAACCCAGACCGCCAGCUAAGGUCCCAAAGUCAUGGUUAAGUGGGAAACGAUGUGGGAAGGCCCAGACAGCCAGGAUGUUGGCUUAGAAGCAGCCAUCAUUUAAAGAAAGCGUAAUAGCUCACUGGUCGAGUCGGCCUGCGCGGAAGAUGUAACGGGGCUAAACCAUGCACCGAAGCUGCGGCAGCGACGCUUAUGCGUUGUUGGGUAGGGGAGCGUUCUGUAAGCCUGUGAAGGUGUGCUGUGAGGCAUGCUGGAGGUAUCAGAAGUGCGAAUGCUGACAUAAGUAACGAUAAAGCGGGUGAAAAGCCCGCUCGCCGGAAGACCAAGGGUUCCUGUCCAACGUUAAUCGGGGCAGGGUGAGUCGACCCCUAAGGCGAGGCCGAAAGGCGUAGUCGAUGGGAAACAGGUUAAUAUUCCUGUACUUGGUGUUACUGCGAAGGGGGGACGGAGAAGGCUAUGUUGACCGGGCGACGGUUGUCCCGGUUUAAGCGUGUAGGCUGGUUUUCCAGGCAAAUCCGGAAAAUCAAGGCUGAGGCGUGAUGACGAGGCACUACGGUGCUGAAGCAACAAAUGCCCUGCUUCCAGGAAAAGCCUCUAAGCAUCAGGUAACAUCAAAUCGUACCCCAAACCGACACAGGUGGUCAGGUAGAGAAUACCAAGGCGCUUGAGAGAACUCGGGUGAAGGAACUAGGCAAAAUGGUGCCGUAACUUCGGGAGAAGGCACGCUGAUAUGUAGGUGAAGCGACUUGCUCGUGGAGCUGAAAUCAGUCGAAGAUACCAGCUGGCUGCAACUGUUUAUUAAAAACACAGCACU
rnacentral:rRNA from 1 species